UACGGAGGAUUCGAGCGUUAUCCGGAUUUACUGGGUUUAAAGGGUGCGUAGGCGGAAUGGUAAGUCAGUGGUGAAAUCCUGCAGCUUAACUGCAGAACUGCCAUUGAUACUGCCAAUCUAGAGUACAUUUGAAGUGGACGGAAUGUGUUAUGUAGCGGUGAAAUGCUUAGAUAUGACACAGAACACCAAUUGCGAAGGCAGUUCACUAAACUGUUACUGACGCUGAGGCACGAAAGCGUGGGGAU
rnacentral:rRNA from 1 species